AUUGUCAGAUUUAUACAAGCAUACUCAUAAGUCUCUCUCUCUCCCUCCCUCAGUUCCUCCUUCCCACCCCAUGUGUCUCCCUUUCUCUCUGUCCCUCUCUAUCUCACACUGGAGCUCCAUCAAUAAACCUAGGCCUCCUGUAAUGAAUACAACAUUUCAAACUCCUCUCAUCAAAUUAUAUUUCUGUUAAAUAUAGAUCUAAUUUUGUUUUUAACAAAUAUUGUUUAUUUUACUUACUUUUCAAUAGUUUAGGAUGCUUCUUUUCAACUGCCUUGGAUGCACUUUCAGGAUUACCUAAAUAUUAAGAAAUACUCUUCAAAAUUGUACCAAACAAUUAACUGCUUA